rnacentral:rRNA from 1 species
GUGCCAGCAGCCGCGGUAAAACGUAGGAGCCAAGCGUUAUCCGAAUUUACUGGGCGUAAAGCGCGUGCAGGCGGCUCGAUAAGUUGGCUGUGAAAUCUCCUGGCUCAACUGGGAGAGGCCGGUCAAGACUGUCGGGCUGGAGGGCAGUAGAGGGAGGUGGAAUUCCCGGUGUAGUGGUGAAAUGCGUAGAGAUCGGGAGGAACACCAGUGGCGAAAGCGGCCUCCUAGGCUGUACCUGACGCUCAGACGCGAAAGCUAGGGGAGCGAACGGGAUUAGAUACCCCUGUAGUCC